AACCAAUAGUUAAACAGUCUAAACGGAGAUGGGCCAUAGUUAAUAUGAUAUUCUCUUAAUAAAAGAGGACAAUGGUCAGACCAUCUACGAUCCAACGCACUACAAUUACAUCCUUUUAACUUGACAUAUCAAUUUUUUUUUUAUUAAUAUUAAUUGACUCUUUGAUAGUAUUUAUUUUUUAGGUUACGAGCAUUUAUUAUAAGCUUCGUCCUCUUAUAUUAAAUAGGGCCGGUCCCGAGAUUUUGAAGGCCCUAUUAAAUUUAGUAAAAAUAGGUCCUUAAAAUUAAUAAAUUUUUUAACAUUUUAAAUUAAAAUUAAAAAUUUUCUUUUAAUAUGUUAUUAUAUUUAUUAGACAAUUUCAUUUAACUACCCAAAUGUAUUACAAGACCAACUUUUUUAAAGCAACAAGCAAAUCUUCACUUUUCAUCUACCGAUUCAAAAAUGUCAAAGACAUCAUUAUAUUGCAUUUAUCCCCCAUAAAUAUAACAAACACAUCAUCAAAACAACAUAUAAAAAGGACUAGUCUUCAACAAAGACUAACCAAAAAAAACUGAUGUAGUAGUAAACUCCUUUGUUGUAGUUGACAAACUUCACAGAAAAUAAGUACCACAAGGGCAACAACCUGGCAUUAAAUAUUUAUUAAAUAUUAAUUUUUUGGGAAGCAUUUAUGCUCAUAAAUAUUAUACCUUUAAAUGAAAUCUAAGAAAUCUAUUGUUUACUAGAAAAGAAUUCAUAACCAUAAACCUUACUUAGAUUGUGCACAGUAACAUUCUAUGCCAUGCUCUGAAUGUAUGUUCAUGAGGGAAAUUAGAAUCAUAUUUCUUCCACAGAUCACCUAAAACAAAGAAAAGAAACUUAUGCACAAGAAAACUCUACAUAUCACCGAUAAAAUAAGUAAUUCGUCUGUAAAUCUACAUUUGUAAGAAGCAUGUGGAGUGCUUUUCGGAGGAGUUUGAAACCAAUAUAAAGAUUUUAUGCACCAUAUUUGUUGGCAAUCUGCUACUAAACAUGUACAUUAUUGCAAACAGUAGAACCACAUUAAAUAAAGGAACAAUUUUGCGUGAGGCUUUGGCCUCUUUUGCCAAAAGUAAAUGAAAAUCGAACUUCAUCAU
rnacentral:lncRNA from 1 species